GACAGAGGGUGCAAACGUUGCUCGGAAUUACUGGGCGUAAAGGGCUCGUAGGCGGCCAACUAAGUCGGACGUGAAAUCCCCAGGCUCAACCUGGGAACUGCGUCCGAUACUGGAUGGCUUGAAUUCGGGAGAGGAAUGCAGAAUUCCAGGUGUAGCGGUGAAAUGCGUAGAUAUCUGGAGGAAUACCGGUGGCGAAGGCGGCAUCCUGGACCGACAUUGACGCUGAGGAGCGAAAGCUAGGGGAGCAAACGGGG
rnacentral:rRNA from 1 species